rnacentral:rRNA from 1 species
UACGAAGGGGGCUAGCGUUGUUCGGAAUUACUGGGCGUAAAGGGCGCGUAGGCGGUACUUCAAGUCAGGCGUGAAAGCCCCGGGCUCAACCUGGGAACCGCGCUUGAGACUGGAGAACUAGAGUUCGGGAGAGGAUGGUGGAAUUCCCAGUGUAGAGGUGAAAUUCGUAGAUAUUGGGAAGAACACCGAUGGCGAAGGCGCCAGCUGGCCCAGUCCUGACGUGAGGCGCGACAGCGUGGGGAGCAAACAGG